rnacentral:rRNA from 1 species
CCCUUAGAUGUUCUGGGCUGCACGCGCGCUACACUGACACACUCAGCGAGUCUCCUGGCCCGAGAGGGUUGGGUAAUCAUGUGAGCGUGUGUCGUGAUGGGGAUAGAAUAUUGUAAUUAUUGCUCUUCAACGAGGAAUUCCUAGUAAGCGCGAUUCAUCAUAUCGCGCUGAAUACGUCCCUGCCCUUUGUACACACCGCCCGUCGCUCCUACCGAUUGAGCGAUCCGGUGAAUUAUUUGGAGUGUCCACGCAAGCCAAUCCGUUUACGUGGGUGCGAAAUUUUGUAAACCUUAUCGCUUAGAGGAAGGAAAAGUCGUAACA